CUUGAAGUUUAGCGGCGAAAUACAAAAUAAAGUCGAUCAGAAUUUCGCUUAGAUAAAACAUUUUCGAUGAAAAAUGGUUAUGUUAUGCAGAGAGAAAGGUUAGUAUUAAAUUUAGCUAUCUUUUAAACGUGAUAUGAGCUGUUCUUGUUAAGUUAUAGUUGUUGUUUGAAACGCAUGCUAUAAAAUCAUUGAAUCGACUUCUCUUCUCGUUCUAGCGCUUCGUUCUCGCCUAGUCGCUUCAUUCCCUUAGUAUUCCUCCCACAUUUUCUUAUAAUAAUGUUCAGAAAUACCCCUGCUGUGAUUUGUUUAACUUAUAUUUGUUUUAUCUGCAGUUUCAGGGCAAAAAUUUGACGAGAAAAGCUGAAAGUUGACUGAUUGAAGUCGCCGACCGGUCGAAGGCCUCGAAGCACGCGGUAAGCAUAAUGGCCAAUUGAAAGCUAAAUUAAGCUUCUCUUGUACAACUUCAACGUAUUGUAGCAUUGCUGAAGCUUUAUGAACACUUUGAGUCUAUUUUAGCUUAAAUUUUGUUCAAAAUUUGAUCUGUACCGACCGAAAUGCCGAAUCAUAUGUUCAAUCUGAGGCAUGCAUAGUUUCUUGUUUGUGGUUCGCUUUUUUAAAGCUUAAAAGUUUUCCUUACCCAACACUGAACAUCUCGUAACAUUGUUCAAGCUUUCUACGCAUUUCGAAUUAGGUUUAGUUUAAUUUUGGUUAAAAUUUUGUCCGAAAUGCCGGACCCGUUUUUGUUUAUGUGCAAAUUGUACUCUGAGAGGAGCAGUUCGUGUUUUUUGAGGUUGUCUAAGUUGAAUUUAAUCCAAAUUUUCCGAAUUUGUCCGCAUUCUUAUGAGUAAUAAAUAAAACUGGAAAACUUUUGAAUUGGGCAACCACACCCUAUGUAAAUGACAUUAAUUUAAAUAACUCUUUAAAACUAAACAACCAUUAUCCAACUUUUUAGGCUUCCUCAUUGUCGUCAAGUUCGAUCAUUGAAGGCAAACAGUGAACACUACCGAAAGGCCUCCUGAACAGUUUCGAAGAGACGCUCGCAUAGCAAUCAGAAGCAAAACAACAAAUUAAAGACGAAUGCAAAGGGCAAAUGCAGAACACUAUCUCGACCCCUUUGCUUCCCACAACAUUUGUCGUCGGAUUUCGUGCCAUGUUUGAAAGAGAUGACGAAUCGCAACCGAUGCUGAUCCAGAGGCAAACCAGAGAGUCCACAAGCAAACCAGAAUCCAGUCCAAGUCUGAUGGUGAUGUAGAACUGACAGUGGAUGCAACCGUCCUCAGAUUUCGUUCAGUCAGCUAAUUGUGAAUGGGAUGCAAAGACCUGCAUGUAAGGCUACAACCAAAGCUGUGUCAUCCAGAGAUCCUAACCAAUGCGUCACACCAUGUCUUAGACUGAAGGAUGCCUACUACUAAGUUAAAAGUAGUUGUUGAAGAACGACGCCUUCCUACAGGUAUAUUUUUAUCUGUGAUUUAUAUUAAUGAAUUUAUUUACUGUAACACACUGUAUCAAAGUAAAUAUUUGAUGAUGGUCAAUGCAGAGGUCAUAGAAAUAAUAGAUAUCUAUUAUUUCUAUGGCAGAGGUUCAGAUCCAUUACCUGCAUGACUACUCCUCCUCUCGCAGACUUAAUGUGCAUUUGAUUGGUUCAUCAGCUAUAUUAAAUGCAACUGAUUGGCUAAUGCAUGGUCGCUACCCUGUAGUGAAAAUAAAAGUCUGAACCUCUCGAGUAUAUCAGAAUGUUGACAAUCGAGGAGCAAGCAAACAAAGUACUUUGCUACCAAAUAUACUACUGUAUAUAAUGAAAAGAAUUCACGUCGUUUUGCCUGCUGGUUGACCAGCCAUCUCAUGCGUGAGGAAUUAUUGUCUGGAUGUGUCACUUAUGUGUUCUCUUAUUUCUUUUAUUUCAGAUUCUCGUUGGUCGUGUUCCAAAGUACGUGGGGUCACCCUGAGGACGUGCAAAUGCACAAAAAAUUUAAACAUGGCACAUUUUCCUCCAUUUCGCAACUUAUUCAAAUUUUUCACAUUUUAUUGUAUUUGUAAAAAGCUCUUAACGAAAUCGAAAUGUUUGAAAUUCGGAAGGUUUUGUCUGAGAGUUUGUUUAUUUGAAAAAUAUUUGAGAUGAAAUUUUGAAGUUUACAUCACUUUCGUAUUUGGUCUAAACGCUAGGUAAAAUCAUGCCAGAUGAGUGACUGACCAUUCGUCAACGUUCGAUGAUACUUCUGCUCGGACUUUCCCGACCUACAGUCGAGUUGCCGUGAUUUGAUUGUCGUGAUCAACUAUCACAAAUGUAAGUACUGGCCACACUUACAUCUGUUCUUUUUGUUCGUGGCAUGAGAUUCGGGUAGCUCGUCUGUAGGCCUGGAACGAUCGAGCCGAAAUACCACCAAACUUUGAUUUGUGGCCAGUUUUUUGUCUGUAUGGCUUUAUCCAGCGUUUUCCCGUUAUCAGUUUGAUAUAGACUUUGGGAUUUCGGUUUGAAUAUUUUUAAUAUAAACAUUCUUUGAGGUUUAAUCUUUCAUGAAUUUCAUAAUUUUUGACUAGUUAAUGUUUUUCUCGCAGAUACCAUAAUUGUAUUUAAAAAUGUUGACCGAAAAAUUUCAACCUAACUAAAACGUCAUUUGAGGUGUCGGACGGGAGGCCCAUUGGUAUUGGUGGCGGAUAUCGAUGGAUAAAUAUGGAUUAUCGUGUACUAUCAAAGAUACUGUGAAUAUUUAUGGACAUAAACACUAAUGGAUUACUGUGAACACUUACGGAUUAUUAUGAACAUUUGUGGAUAAAACGUACUCGACGAUCGACGGUUACCUUCCAAUGUACCUUCGACAGAACUGCGCAACGGUAACGAGACGACUGCCUCAAGGUUAGAUUAUUAGUCUGAUAACAGGCAGUAUUAAGCCUGUUAUCAGGCAACUGUAGUUAGCCUGCUAUCAGGCAGUAGUUGGCCUGCUAACAGGUAGUAUAUCGGUAGGAUUCGUACCCAGAACUCUAAUUUGCAUGUGUUCGUUGAAAUCUCUGGGUUAAAUUAAUACAAAAUUCCUGACGGUCUAUCGUUAGCAGUACAUUUGCACGCAAGGUUGAUUUUUAUUCAGAUACUUGCAUGCUAAUAAAAUUGAGGUAAAAUUUCAGUAAUAUCUGCAAUCAAAAGUCCAUCUUAAAGAGGAUAACAUUUGAGCUUUCGGUCACGUGGUUGUUGCAUGCACUCGGUUCGGUUGUUGGUGGGUUUCAGUAAGUGUUGCAGUCCAGAUGAAGGUCAACUGAGUGAAUGUUGACACUUGUAAGAGCAAUUUAUUUUGUUCCAAAAUUUAAUUUUUGAUCCAAAUCACAAGACUACUCAUAAAAUAAAAAAAGGUGAACAUUAUUUUUCACUCUAGUAACUCGUAUUGAAACCCACUAGAUAUUCGCGGUCUAUUCGUGCCAAUGUGCUCCUCUUUGUGUAAAUGUACUGCUUAGGUGUCUGUGCGUGGAUAAACGCAGCGCGCAGCUAGUAUUUAGAAUAGACAGACAAGUAAAACCUUGCCAGGCUUAAAUAUUUUGCAUGUAUAUAUCUCCGUAUGUUGGGUUCACGAAUGUAUAGAAAUAUCAUGAAAUGAGUUAGGCUUAUGGUUAAGGUUAAAUCUAACCCUAUAACCUUAGCCUUAACCCAUUACAUGAUCUGCAUAUUCGUGUACGUAAUGUAUGGAUUUAGCCAAAAUUUUGUUAGUUGAAAAGCUGGCAUAGUUUUCCUUGGGUAUAGGAUAAAUAAACUGGGUG
rnacentral:lncRNA from 1 species